rnacentral:lncRNA from 1 species
GCCUCAUGAAAGGUAGCACUGGUGCUUAGUUAGUUCAAUCCAUGCGACACGUUUUUACUACUAGUCGUUAGCUCGUUCGACACUAAUCAAAGAUGUUAGCAGGCUAGAUUCACAUAUUAUCACUUAGUUGGACCAUUACAUCUAACCCCUGAAAUGGAAACAAAACACUUACAAUUCAUUACAAACUAAUAAGCUAGCCAUCCAAUGGAAUUAAGAAAGAGGAACCACAUAUUUAUUAUUCCAACCCUUCAUUCAUUCCAGGCGAAAGGUUGGGUUCAGGAUUCGAACCCUGGUGGUAGGGUUCACCAACGAACACCUUUGCCAACUACGCUAGAAGCACAUGUCAU